rnacentral:rRNA from 1 species
AUUUAACGCUGGCGGCAGGCUUCACACAUGCAAGUCGAGCGAGCGGCGGACGGGUGAGUCAUGUCUGGGACACUGCCUGAUGGAGGGGCAUAACUACUGGAAACGGUAGCUAAUACCGCAUACCAUCAAAUGUGCCCAGAUGGGAUUAGCUAGUAGGUGGUGUAAUGGCUCACCUAGGCGAAGAUCCCUCGCUGGUCUGAGAGGAUGACAAGCCACACUGGAACUGAGACACGGUCCAGACUCCUCCGGGAGGCCGCAGUGGGGAAUAUUGCGCAAUGGGCGCAAGCCUGAUGCAGCCAUGCCGCGUGUGUGAAGAAGGCCUUCGGGUUGUAAAGCACUUUCAGCGAGGAGUCGUUACUCGCAGAAGAAGCACCGGCUAACUCCGUGCCAGCAGCCGCGGUAAUAC